rnacentral:rRNA from 1 species
AUGGAAGGGCUCCUACACUGGGAUUUCUCCCCCGGCCUUGCGGUCGCGGCUCAGGUGUGUCGACAUUUUGGAUCUACUGUCCACUUCUCCAACUCUAGUUCGACCAAGGAGUUUUUCUUGGUUGUAAGUUUCUCCUCUGCCUCCUUCCCUCUCAAUGAAGAAUCGGUGGUCGUUGCCUCGCAAUGUUGCAUUGGU